AGAAAAUAUAUCCUUUACCAUCAAGGGUGCAGGUUCCAGAGAAAUUCUAGCCCGGGUGAUGAUACCAAAUUGUCCCAGUCCUCCAAGAACACCAUAGAAGAGGUCCGCAUUUUGACUUUCUGAACAGAAACAUACCUGUGACAACUUCCAGACGAUACACGUUGUUUAUCUGUGGGCCAUGGCGGAAUGCCUGUCCACUGACUCCAGCAUUCGAUAAAGUUCCUCCCACAGUGAGAUGCAGACCUGCAAUAUUUUCGCCGAAAAACAGGAACGGACGGAACUGAUCUUUGAAAUCAGCUUACAUGGCGGGCCCACGAGGAUGCCACAAGAAAAUUUGGAUGAAGGCGACCUUGCUAUUACCUUUCCCAUUCUCAGAUCUUGCUGUAAGUGUGAGUAAUAUGCACUGCAUUACUGCAUUAAUAUCAUACUCUGUGGUCCAUUUCUUUGAAAGAAAUAUGACAAAAUUACAAGCAACAAGCCAACGGGUUUUGAAUUGGUUGUAUUACUUGGCAACUAAGCUACAAUAUUUCCACCUAAAGUAGAACUGACUAAUCUUUGAAAUAGUCGAGACUGCGGGCCCACAUGGACCAGCUGCACCAUUCCGCCACAAAAAAGCCGGAUGAAGGUGAUUCGCCUCUUACCUCUCUCAGAUCUUGAUGAAGGUAACGUUUCUAUUAACACUCCAAGAUCUUGCAGUAAGCACGAGUCUUAUGCGCUGUGUUGGUAUCGUAUUUGUUCUAUAACCGGUCAUGGUCCAAACCUCACCUAGAGCUCUUGACGGGGCGGCCCCUACUGAGUUACUUGAAACCGCCCUUAGAUUUUCGCCAGAUGGUUUGUCCAUUCUAAGCAAAAAGGCACGUGACAAAGCCAACAAUCUCUUCAAAAAGUGACUGCAGGAGUCCAGAGUGCUGUCCACCUGGACCAUUCCACCACAUAAAUUCACUGCAUAAUAUGUUGUUGUGUAUCAGCAGGCAUAGAUUUUGUUCUGACUUUCUGGUCCUUUUGGGGAGCUAUCCAUGGGGGCGGCCCCUACUGAGUGUUGAUGCUGCUAGAGGUCUGUGUUCAGACUGAUGAUAAGAUUCGGAUAUGCUGCAUGCCUAAGACUCUGUACAUUUCCUCAGAAGAAGGGUAUGGUUUCUUUGUUGGGCUUUUCUCUAGUUGAGUUGCAUUGAGUUCAUUUCCCAGUUGAAGGCGCAGCAUUAUUUGACAUGCCUUCAACCUAAAUGGUCAAGUCUAAAUUAACGGUCAGGACACAAUUUUGGUUUCGAAUCACGGGAAUCAAUAGUUAAUUAAUCUUAUUUUUUAUGGACUAUGGGCGAGCUUUGUAAGGAUGCAUGGCAUGCCUCAAUUUUUCUUCUGGUGCAGAAAUGGAAAUAGUUGGGAAGCACUGAUGUUACUUGGACUCAAAUGUAGGUGUCGGGUGUGAGUGUACGCCAUAUUCGUAUGUCGUCGCAUAUGUCUUUUAGUUCUUAAAUGUUACAACGUGUCGUGUGCUCUUUAUGGAAGUUCUAGACUAGUUGUACAAUGAACUUAAUAUUAGAUGCACAUUCCAUACCCUUAAAACCCUAAAUCCAUAUGCAAUUGAAAUGUUUUUUUUUUUGUUUUUUUCCUUUUGAUGACUGUAUUUAAUUGAAAAUGUUAGACACAUAUCAGAUACCCUUAUUUAAGUGUCAAAUGUACAAUGUCCGACACGGGUACUUAAAAUUUCAAAAAGUUCGUGUAAUAAUUUAUAUAGAGGGGCACAGGAGGGGAGCUUCACCGAUCGAAAAACAGUUGGAGGAGAAAUGUCACAAUGGGAGAAAACCUGUAUGUUUGAUGCUUGUUUAAUAUGGUAAAAGUAUCAACCAAACACGAAUAUAACUACUCGGCUCAACUCGGCUCAUUUGUAAAAACUUGAAGGAUGGUUAGUUUUCUUACCAUGGUAGAUUGGAAUUUCCCUGCAUCCUCUGGCCUCUGAAGCUAAAUGAUUUUUACAGUAGUUUAUGUUGGGGCCUUGGGUGGUUUAGGUCCUUUGGAUAGGGGAAACACUUAAAAAAAGCCUAACCUAUUACCUAGAUUUCCUUAGGAUUCUUACAUCCCAGCACUGGGACAACCCUCAAUGAUGCUUUUUUUAGUGUUUUCUUCACAUGAUGCCUCUUCUGCUCCAAACAGACCACUGUUUCUGAAGUUAUUACACCAUCCUGAUGAGUACUACUUUUGAGAUCAUUGUUCAAAUCUAUAAUCAGUAGUCUGUUGCUUUAUAUUGAUUUUUUUCAUCUCAAAUACUAGUUUCUAUCCAAGGUACUCGGGUUCUAGAAUCAAUUUUACAUGUCGUAAAAUGUUAGAAUUUCUAUCUAUAUAUGAAGGGAGGUCAAGAAAAUGGUUUUUAGAUCGAGCGUAUUGAAAUACGUAGCGCUUAUCGGUCACACGAUUGAUAUGGAUAUCAUGUUCGUCGCAAUCAUAAAAUGGAUCUCUUGUUUGGAACUUGUGUUCAGCAUGAAAACCUGCUUAAGAUAGGAUCCGGCUCCUCUCCAGUAAUAACAGAGGAGCUACCCGUCCGGUUUGGAUCAGGCAUUGAACGGUGUGUGAUAAAACAAAUUUUUACAUGGUUGAAUUACUCAACGAGAUCUACAUAAUAAAACGAUUGCGAUCAUUAAUGUAGGCCCAGUAUGGACCCGAAAAAGGAGCAAUCUGACGGAAGCUCCUCUCCCAUUGCUGGAGAGGAGCCAGAUCCUUAAGAUUUGUCAUG